rnacentral:rRNA from 1 species
CCUACGGGUGGCAGCAGUGGGGAAUAUUGCACAAUGGGCGCAAGCCUGAUGCAGCCAUGCCGCGUGUGUGAAGAAGGCCUUCGGGUUGUAAAGCACUUUCAGCGGGGAGGAAGGCGUUAAGGUUAAUAACCUUGGCGAUUGACGUUACCCGCAGAAGAAGCACCGGCUAACUCCGUGCCAGCAGCCGCGGUAAUACGGAGGGUGCAAGCGUUAAUCGGAAUUACUGGGCGUAAAGCGCACGCAGGCGGUCUGUCAAGUCGGAUGUGAAAUCCCCGGGCUCAACCUGGGAACUGCAUUCGAAACUGGCAGGCUAGAGUCUUGUAGAGGGGGGUAGAAUUCCAGGUGUAGCGGUGAAAUGCGUAGAGAUCUGGAGGAAUAACGGUGGCGAAGGCGGCCCCCUGGACAAAGACUGACGCUCAGGUGCGAAAGCGUGGGGAGCAAACAGGAUUAAUACCCCAGUAGUC